CAGCCGAUUCCUUGGCUGUUUAGGGAAACGUUUUUAGACCGGAAAACGCUCAGGGAAUACCCCCUUAGUGCCGGUUCUCUAUCUGUCCUCAUCCGCUCCUUCUGGAAAAAUUUCCUUUUCGCUAAAAAAAAAAAAAUAGCCCGCAUUGAACAGUCCUGGAAACGUAGCUUGUCACCUCAUUGCGACAGAUGGCGGGCAACUGUGGAUGAAGAGUGUCAGCCCGUUGUUGGCAGGAGGAGAUUCGACAGGACCGUUCCCUCUUCACGUCCCCCGUGGGGAAAUCGCUCCGGUUCUUCAAAUAGACUGACCCGGAGAAAUCAGGACAGUGUGCCGGAGCUGUCGACCUGGACUCGGCGUGGAGAGCAAAUCUUCCUCCUUUUUACCCUGUGAAAUGACGUUUCUCUGGGCUGCAAGAGAGGAAGGCAGCAGUUAAAGUGGCUCGCCUACGUCGCCGGGAUCUGAGGCUAAAGAAAGAGAAGGAUCAUCAGAGGUGAAAGCUUUUGCCAGGAGAACCAUCUGUGGAGUUCUGCAAGGUGGACGGGCCCGGCCGGGACCCUGAAAGAUAGCUGGCUAAUGGAGGUGGUGAAGACCACAGUAGCUACCAAGACAACCAUCAAGCGAGUCGUGAUACUACAGCCUGGCAUCUGCACUGUGAUGGAGACACUUUGGCCCUUCAUUUUGGGAUAAGGUACAUUGUGUGAUGUGGGGAACUUGGCAUCUUGCCUAGUCUGCUGUUUAGAAAUAACCACCAUGUCUUACAUACCAUUAUCUGUUUAUUAGCAAUAAUAUAGGAAAUACCAUUAGCACCAAUUAAAAAAAAUGAAUCCACAUGGUGUUUUAAAUCAUUACAGCUGUAAUAAUUACCAAUUAACAAAAGAUUGUAUAGCACUUUGCAAAUAUAAACAGUGCUGUACAGAUACGAGAUCAUUAUCAUUAUUCCUACUACUAAUAAUAAGCAUCUUGGAUUCUCCAUAAAAAGUUCUUUGGAGGAUGGAAUGUUUUCUAAUACACUCUCAUCUUUUUUUUUAGUUGAAUAGGGCUGUAGCAAUUGUAAUUAAUCAAUCAUUCUGAGAGAUCCCUUUAAAAUCUUCAAAGUUCUCAACUGGGUUAUAUUAGUGGAAAAAGCAUGGGAUAAGGAGUCAGAAGAUCUAGAUUCUAAUCUUAUUUCUGCCCUGGCCUGCUAUGUGACCUUGGGUGAGUCAUUUAACCUCUCUGGGCCUCAGUUUCUUCCUCUGUAAAAUGGGGAAAAGAUCCUGGCUUUCCCCUCCCAUUGAGAACCCCAUGUGGGACAGGGACUGUGCCCAAUCUGAUUAUCUUCGCUUAACACAGUGCUUGGCACCUUAAUAAGCACUUAGUACACACAUGCUUAAUCAUUAAUAUUAUGAGCUGAUAUUCCAGAGAGGUUAGGAAUUCCAGUAAGUGCAAGGUUUCACAGAGUGUGUUUUGGUAUUAUACUUUCAGUUUUGAAGGGAGUAACUUCAGGGAUUACUUCAAGAAAUGGGUGGGUUUUUGAUUGUUUUUUUCCUUCUUUAAAAAGGAAACUUGGAUCUAAUACUCCAGUUCCUUAAUGUUGAAAAAUUAGUACACCAGGUGAGAGCUAUUUAUCAGUCAGAAAUAAAUCCCUUGAAUCACCAAAAUCUUGAUUUAAGAAAGAUAGCUUUACUGUUUCUUUCAUCCACAAAAGCUGAUCAUCAAUAGUGGUUCAAAAAAAGGAACACGAUUCCACCUGUUCACAAGAGUACAAAAAAGAAACCGAAUGGAGUUACAUUCAACAGUAAAGCUUACAGUCCACUCCAGGAAAUAGGUGCAUUGACAUUCACAUACACAAGCACAGAAUAAAUAGAGUUCAGGAUUCUUAUAAGAGAGCACGGCAUACAUUAACAGGAGUUGGAGUUUACAUCAUGAGUGUCAGAAAGGGCAGCAAUUCAAAAUCUUGUAGAAAAGGAAAACCAAGUCAAGUAGGAGGUUGGGGAGAGGACACUAAGACAAAUCACAGAAUAGAAGACCCUUCGGUCGGUUUGGUGUAUGUGUAUGGAAAAACGUUUGUCUUCUGUGUCUUUGUUUCAGGAGUUUGUUAGAGAAGGUUGUGUAAUCAAAGUGCAGAUAUAUUGGGAGGAAAAAAAGAAAUUCUUGUAUUAAGUUAUUAGCACAUGCAAGAGGCAGCCCCAGAGUGGUCCGAUAGGAUAAAGCUGUGAUUGGCAGGUGGCCAAUAUAAUACAGAUGUUUCAGGCAAUUUCUCUAAAGCACUUCAGUAGCAGCAAGUAUCAUUUCUAAUGAUUGGAGAUCGAUUCUCUUUUUCAGGUGAAAGGGCACCAUCUGUAUCAUAAUUCUUUUUAAACAUUUACAGCUAUAUUUUCUUUUUAAAUAAAUCUAUCAAGUAACA